GUCCAUUUAAAAAAUAAAAUAAAAAUUAAAUCAUUUUUAAUCAAAAAUAAAAUUUUAAAUCUAAUUCAGUGCUUUUUAGAAAAGAGAAGAUUUAAAUUACGGAAUUAAUUUUUAAAUAAAGUUUUAUAGCUAUGUUGAAAGUUUCUUCAGUGUAAAAACAAGAAAAAGGAUGUUGUAACAAAUGAUUUUUCCGCACAGUGAUUCUGAAACAGCUAAUGGAAGUAGCAAUGAACUGUUGUGUGGUUAAGCUUCUACAGUUACCUGCUAAGCAUCUUUUUUUUUCCUCCCUCGGUUUACUCAGCCCAAUAGUUUAUAAAAGUAUCGCCAUCACUCGAUAGUUAAAAAAUAAUUCCUUCUAGAUUAGUAUCAGCUAAAUUACUAUCUUUUCAUCUUCAGUUUGGCUGGAACUUCCGAAGGGAAUAUGAUUUAUGAGUUUUUCAAAAUGAAUAUAUUCUUUGUUUAUAUAGUUCUUAGUUUUGCUCCUCUGACUUCCGCCCCCGCCUUCGUAACUGUGUGGGAUACCCCAAUGAUUUAUAAGCAAGUAGGGAACGGAAUAAGGUCGCAAUGGAAAGCCUCUUUCCAGGGGAACUCAACCGAUUUGUCAUCGUAUGUUUCAGCUGACUUGGAAACAGAGGAGAGGUGGAGCUGAAUACGUCAGCUUUGCUACUUAACGUUCCAUAGCUGGGACUAAUUGUCUUUCAGGCUUCCCAUAUUAAGCCACUUAGCAACCUGAUGCCUAAUCAUAAUUUUUUCUUUAAAAUUCAGGUACAAAAAUUCUUGUGUUAAUCUAUUUAAUUACAUUUAAUUACAAGAGAGAAAUGUAUAGCUUGUUCAAAAAUUUCUAAUAGAUAAUUUUCUUUAUAUAUUUAUAAUAAUACGGUAUUUUGAUAAAUGCUAU
rnacentral:lncRNA from 1 species